rnacentral:lncRNA from 1 species
UGUCUGUCUGUUCAGAAACAUCAACUUUCUGUUCCAGUAUCACUUUCUUCCUGUACAGUUUAUGAAGUAUUGAUUCAUCCACAUCUUCUGAGAUCGACCCUGUCUGUCUACUCAAGCGAUUAUCUCUAGCACGGAAAAACCUGCUUCGGCUCGUUUUAGGAAGAGAGCAAGAAGAUAUUGGAGGAGACUAUCUGCCUAUCACCAACAGGAGCUGCAGCGUAUGGAAACCACAAGGGAUUCAUCCAAAAUUACCGUUUUAGUUGUUUAGUGACUUUUUCUUUGAUUUUCAUUAUUGAUGUUCUACGUGUAGAACUAGUACAAUUUUUUUUAUAAGACGGGUAGUACUAGUAUAAUUCCACUCCAUACAAUUAAUUUUACCUGGCCAAUGGCUAAUCUCAACGAAUAAACUUGUAUAGACAAGCUCUUUUGUAGCAAAAUAUGACUCAAUCGACAAACAUCUGCACAGAAGUACUAGAUUUAAAUUAGGAUGCUACAACUUAAAGUUAGGUUAUUAUUCAACAACUCGCCGAACAUGCCAUCGUUGAACUAAGCAAAGCCAAGCUCAACAAUGAUGUCAAAAUUAAACAACCAAUCAACUAUAUAAACUAAUACCAGAUGAUUAAUUAAUCCAAAAAAAAAGAGGCAACAUAUAUAGUUUAACAAUGCCAUCGUUGAACUAAGAAAAACCAAGCUCAACAAUGAUGUCGAACUUAAACAACCAAUCAACUAUAUAAACUAAUACCAGAUGAUUAAUUAACACACAAAAGAAAAAAGACAAUACAGGAGAAGUAAUAUGAGAGAGCCAAGACAACACGCUAUUCAGCAACUAAUGCAUAUAAAUGUAGAUGCUGAGAAAGGAUCCAUACUUGUUUGUUCCCUCGCUAAUCAAUGAUCCGCUGGCACCUCCAUCAUCUCCAGAGCCAUUAUUGAGAUUAGCAUGUCUAUGCCUUUGUUCAGCACUCCGAGCCAACCGGUACAAGCUAUCCCUUAUACAUAGCUUUGUCUGUAUGUCCAACUAAACCAAGAAAGUUGAACGUCAUCAAUUUUACAAUGCAAAUACUAAGAAGUCAAUUUCAACUAUAGGUCUAACUUUGAAGACCCACUUUUGACACAUCUGCUAACAAGCCCAUCCUAGCCAAAGUACACUGGACUAACAUAUGAAUAGUUACCACACAAUACUGAAAUAUAAGUCAUACAUUUGGAUGAUUUCUGCAUAAUCAGCCUAAAAGGAACCAAAAUAUGAUUACAGCUUGGUGAUGAAGUAUGAAACAGCCUAAAUAUACCAAUCACUUGCCUACCUCUUGCAACAGCGACAUGCACUAAAAAGACCAUCCUGAAUCAUGCACAAAACAACGAGUGUGCAACUGCUAUAUCACACCUUUCUAAAAAAUCGGAACAGUCCUGUGAUGUAUGUGUGAAGCUACAAGAGUGUAGCAGGAGAUCUUUGAUAUACUACAUCCCUCUUCAACUAUUGUAAGAUGAAAUACUUUAGGAUAUACGAAGUAUAGGAAUAUGAAAUGUUUUUAUAUAUAUGACACCAGAUCAAGAAAAUAACUGUGAUUAGCACCAAGACUGAUUUGCAGUUUUGCACAACACCAGUCUACUUUGAACAAGCAUAUGAGAGCAUGUCAGACAUGCAAAGUUGAUUUAACUCUUUUGCAGCUUAAACUCUUAAUAAAUUCAUCAUCAAAGAAGAAGAAGAUUAUAACACAGUAAAUUUCAUAGUGGGACUGACUACCUGUUCCAUGACACGUUGAAGCUGAUGAAAAUUAGCUGCUUCUUCUGAAAUUUCAUCCAACCCAGAACUUAUAGAAGAGCACUCCUGUACAACUGAGGAUCCUAGUUCUGCUGGAAUCCCCAUGCCAACCCUUUCAAGAUCAUGGUUAGUUUCAACCUUAACUCCAGAUUGGUGGAAUAACUUCUUCACAUUUUCAUUUAUUGUCAUAGCAGCCACCUGAAAAGAAGGAUCAGGAGAACCCUCCAUGGACUGUACCUGAUUUGAUGCAUAGGAGUCCUUGGGAGAAGGAGACAUGAGACCGUUAUUUUCGUACUUUGUAAUUGGUAGAGUUGGAUGGAGAGUACUCCCAUCUGAAUGACCGUAAUCUGAAUGCAUGUAAGAAAAGCUACCCCCCAAAUAGCCAAAAUCGGGCACUUGAGCUUGCUUUUGCUGCGGGACACCUGCAGAUGUGAAAUUCACUUGAGUCCUUGGGGGCCCAGAAGGAUGUUUCUUCUCUUCUGGAAGGCUAUCAGUGUAAUUGAAUGUGUCGCCGUUUUCUUGAUAACCACAUUUUCUUUUACCCUCAGAUCGAUUUUGAUGCUUGGAGUGUUUCUUUUGCAUGCUAUUCUGGAAAGAAGACACCACAAGGAAUUUAAAAAUAGAAGGAAUAAUUGUUCACAUCAGGAUCAAUGCAUUUAAUAAGAAGCUGAUGGUAUCAAAGACAUGAUCAUCCAGAAACUCUGGAACUGUUCCUUCAACCAACACUAAAAUUCAAAGAGGAAGAAUGCACUAAAUUGGAACUACCAUCUAUUCUUUACUCACCACUACAUCGUUGCUGAUUCUUGGUUGGUUAUUACAUGCAAUCUCGACCUGUACUCCACCACCCUGUACCCCAGCCUUCUUCAAAACAACCACCUUAUAGGUAAGCUGAUGCAAAAUAUGAUUUUAAAGAUAAAAAGAAUGAUAUUCACAGAAACUGAGUAAUAUACCUUCUUGUCAGGUACUAACUCGCACUCUGAAUUACUUGAUUCAUUUACAAAAGACAAAUGACUCAGAUUUACCAAUUCAUUUUUCUCGGGGGCCCAUGAACUGCCAUUAUAGCCAAGUGAUUGAUUUUUAGUGACAGAAGUAUUAGUUGAAAUGUUUGUUUCCUUUAGCUUUGAAGUUUCAUGACUUGCAAAUGUACUUCCAAGUGCAGUGGAUGCUGGACAUGGAAACUUAAAAGCUGACGUCAAUCCAUCUCCAGAUCCAUCAAUGACAUCUGAUGAUGAAAGCCAACCUAGGUCAUCUUCACUACCAGGUCCAAAUCCAAAUGUUGAAUCACAACUCCUGAAAUAAAUUAGCAUUGUUAGUAUUUUUAAACAGACUAUUCAUUUUUUCUACAUUCACAUCAAAAGCUGACAUAGAUGUCAUAGGUAGAAAUGGUUUUUUUUUUAAUUUUGUUCACAUCUAACCCCCUAAAAAGGAUAAAAGGAUGAAUAAAGUCCAUUUGACUGAAAUGAAGAAAGCAAUUACCUGAACAUCCUGUCAACAUCAUCAAAAUUCUCUAUCUCAGGCCAGCUAUAGUAUAAGAGAUCAUUAGAGUCUUUACCCUCGCAACUAUUGUCCAAAAAGCUGAGAUCAUCAUCAGCCUGAGGAAUGGGACCAACUGGAUAGCUAUAUGUGUUUCCCCCCACAGCAGCAUUCUUGUUAUCCAGAGGGCGACCAUUAGGACAGGACUUGCUCUCAAUUGAGUUUACAUUAUUACUCUCGAUGCAACGACUGGAUGUCCUGGUAUUUUCAGCUGGUGAAACAUCUUCGACUUUGGCACCAUCAGGUGCAUCGGC